rnacentral:rRNA from 1 species
UACGUAGGGUGCGAGCGUUAAUCGGAAUUACUGGGCGUAAAGCGUGCGCAGGCGGUUUUGUAAGCCAGAUGUGAAAUCCCCGGGCUUAACCUGGGAAUGGCAUUUGGGACUGCAAGGCUGGAGUGUGGCAGAGGAGACUGGAAUUCCUGGUGUAGCAGUGAAAUGCGUAGAUAUCAGGAGGAAUACCGAUGGCGAAGGCAGGUCUCUGGGCUGACACUGACGCUCAUGCACGAAAGCGGGGGGAGCAAACAGG